ensembl:misc_RNA 7SK 7SK RNA
GGAUGUGAGGGCGAUCUGGCUGGCUAGGCUGGUGUCCCCUUCCUCCUUCACCGCCCCAUGUGCGUCGCUCCCGAAGCUGCGUGCUGGGUGAAGAGGAUGACCAUCCCCGCUAGAGGAGGACCGGUCUUCGGUCAAGGGUAUACGAGUAGCUGCGCUCCCCUGCUAGGACCUCCAAACAAGCUCUCAAAAUACAUUGUUUGCUUGCCAAUGUAAUAACAAGUUAAAAUUGUGUUACUCUGU